rnacentral:rRNA from 1 species
UACGAGGGGGGCGAGCGUUGUUCGGAAUUACUGGGCGUAAAGCGUGCGCAGGCGGUUCUAUAAGACAGAUGUGAAAUCCCCGGGCUCAACCUGGGAACUGCAUUUGUGACUGUAGAGCUGGAGUACGGCAGAGGGGGAUGGAAUUCCGCGUGUAGCAGUGAAAUGCGUAGAUAUGCGGAGGAACACCGAUGGCGAAGGCAAUCCCCUGGGCCUGUACUGACGCUCAUGCACGAAAGCGUGGGGAGCAAACAGG